rnacentral:rRNA from 1 species
UCUUGGGUUCGGUGAGUGAAAUGGCGGACGGUGAGAAANGCGUGGGAACUGCUUGUGGUUCGGAAUAACNGCGGGGAAAUGCGGUAAUACCGGAUGAGCCCGAAAGGGGAGAGAUUUAUCGCCAUGAGAGGGGCCCGCGUCCGAUUAGGUAGUUGGUGGGGUAACGGCNUACCAAGCNUGCGAUCGGUAGCUGGUCUGAGAGGAUGAUCAGCCACACUGGGACUGAGAUACGGCCCAGACUCCUACGGGAGGCAGCAGUGGGGAAUAUUGGACAAUGGGGGCAACCCUGAUCCAGCAAUGCCGCGUGAGUGAAGAAGGCCUUAGGGUUGUAAAGCUCUUUCGCCCGCGACGAUGAUGACGGUAGCGGGAGAAGAAGCCCCGGCUAACUCCGUGCCAGCAGCCGCGGUAAUACGGAGGGGGCUAGCGUUGUUCGGAAUUACUGGGCGUAAAGGGCGCGUAGGCGGCUAUUCAAGUCAGGCGUGAAAGGCCUGGGCNCAACCCGGGAACUGCGUUUGAUACUGGAUGGCUUGAGUACGGGAGAGGAUGGCGGAAUUNCCCAGUGUAGAGGUGAAAUNCGUAGAUAUUGGGAA